UGAGGAACAUGACCUUCGGCGGGGGAGUAGCCGGCCCAACGGCCGGGUAAUACCGCGUACGACCACAUGGGGACAUCCCUGAGUGGUGAAAGCAGCAAUGCGCCGAUGGAGUGCCUCGCGGCCUAUCAGCUAGUUGGUGAGGUAACGCUCACCAAGGCGACGACGGGUAGCUGGUCUGAGAGGAUGGCCAGCCACAUUGGGACUGAGACACGGCCCAGACCUCGUACGGGGAGG
rnacentral:rRNA from 1 species